CCCACGGGUUGAGUAACACGUUAGGUAACCUGCCUUCAGGUCUUACAUAACCCCGAGAAAUCGGGGCUAAUAGAAGAUUAUGCAGCGGCUCGGCAUCGAGACAGUUGUUAAAGCUUCGGCGCCUGAAGAUGGGCCUGCGUCCCAUUAGGUAGUUGGCGGGGUAACGGCCCACCAAGCCUACNAUGGGUAGCUGGUCUGANAGGAUGAUCANCCACACUGGAACUGAGAUACGGUCCANACUCCUACGGGAGGCAGCAGUANGAAAUAUUGCUCAA
rnacentral:rRNA from 1 species